rnacentral:tRNA from 1 species
GCCGAGGUGGCACAGCCUGGUAAUGCGCGGGCCUGGAAAGCCCGUUUCCCUAACGGGAUCCCUGAGUUCAAAUCUCAGCCUCGGCG